UUGUAGCUCAGUUGGAUAGAGCAACGGCCUUCUAAGCCGUGGGUCGCAGGUUCGAAUCCUGCCAG
rnacentral:tRNA from 1 species